CCUAUAGGGUAAAUAAUCAGCUAAACGAGGUAGGCUACAAAUAUAUUGUUACAUUGCUUGUAGUUAUAAUAAUUAAUUGAACUACAAUGAUAACAGGAUAUUGUGGUUAUCAAUAUAUUUUAUUUCUCUAUAGGUCUAUGCCAAUGAUGCCAACACCAUACAGCACAGUCAUUCAUUCCACUUAAAGAGUGGAACAUCAACAUAUUGUACCAUUGUAUUUAUCCAAAUAAGGGUCUCUGGGAUCCCCAGUUGAAGGCAUCAGGACAUCAGAUGUUGGCCUGGACAGAUGUACCAACAGUACACCACACUGACCUCUCUGCUUUUGCAUGGAUGGCUGACUACUACCAUGUUCUGUUAGGGUAUUACUAUAGCAAAACAGAACACCUGUGACAGUGGGAUUUGUAGUUUUAAAGAACAGUCACACAUCAGUAAAUUUAAAGUUGUAGAGAAACUUUAACUCAUUUAGAAACUUUUUUUUAGAAGUUUAAAUUUUUUUUUCUCACUCUCUCUCUCACCUUUUCAAAUUAUCUUCUGGAGGUGCACAAAUCCUAUUCUACAAAUCAUAAAUUAAGAAAUUCAUAUGCUCACUUUUUUUAUUACGAACUUCCAUGGUGAUGAUGAGUUUUACCUGUCCAUGAUUUAGAAAUACCGCAGCU